UACAGAGGUCUCAAGCGUUAUUCGGAAUUAUUGGGCGUAAAGGGCGCGUAGGCGGCUUUUCAAGUGACGGGUGAAAGCCCUCGGCUUAACCGAGGAACUGCCUGUCAGACUGGAAGGCUUGAGACCGGGAGAGGUGAGUGGAAUUCCCAGUGUAGCGGUGAAAUGCGUAGAUAUUGGGAGGAGCACCAGUGGCGAAGGCGGCUCACUGGACCGGAACUGACGCUGAGGCGCGAAAGCGUGGGGAGCAAACAGG
rnacentral:rRNA from 1 species